AGAGUUUGAUCAUGGCUCAGGACGAACGCUGGCGGCGUGGAUUAGGCAUGCAAGUCGCGCGACGGACCUUCGGGUUACGGAGCGGCGAACGGGUGAGUAACACGUGAACAAUCUGUCCCCCCAUUCCGGAUAAUUGGUCGAAAGACCUUGUAAUACGGGCGAGAGUCAUUCUUAGGCAUCUUAGAAUGAAGGAAGGUGCAAGGUAACUUGUGCCGUGUGGGGAGGAGUUCGCGGCCUAUCAGGUAGUUGGUGGGGUAAUGGCCUACCAAGCCUACGACGGGUAGCUGGUCUGAGAGGAUGGUCAGCCACAUUGGGACUGAGACACUGCCCAGACUCCUACGGGAGGCUGCAGUCGAGAAUCUUGGGCAAUGCACGAAAGUGUGACCCAGCGACGCCGCGUGAAGGAUGAAGGCCCUUGGGUCGUAAACUUCUUUUAUGGGGGAAGAAUCAAUGACGGUACCCCAUGAAUAAGCCACGGCUAACUACGUGCCAGCAGCCGCGGUAAUACGUAGGUGGCAAGCGUUGUCCGGAUUUACUGGGCGUAAAGCGUGCGCAGGCGGACUUUUAAGUAGAAAGUGAAAGGUUGGAGCUCAACUCCGACACUGCUUCCUAUACUGGGAGUCUUGAAUGCCGGAGAGGAAGAUGGAACGACACGUGUAGCGGUGAAAUGCGUUGAGAUGUGUCGGAACACCAAUGGCGAAAGCAAUCUUCUGGACGGAUAUUGACGCUCAUGCACGAAAGCUAAGGUAGCAAACAGGAUUAGAUACCCUAGUAGUCC
rnacentral:rRNA from 1 species